GACGAACGCUGGCGGCGUGCUUAACACAUGCAAGUCGAGCGGGAAACUUCGGUUUCCAGCGGCGGACGGGUGAGUAACACGUGGGCAACCUGCCUCACAAUGAGGGAUAGCCCUCCGAAAGGAGGAUUAAUACCUCAUAACACAAGAGAAACGCAUGUUUCUCUUGCCAAAGAAUUUCGUUGUGAGAUGGGCCCGCGGCGCAUUAGCUUGUUGGUGAGGUAACGGCUCACCAAGGCUGCGAUGCGUAGCCGACCUGAGAGGGUGAUCGGCCACAUUGGAACUGAGACACGGUCCAGACUCCUACGGGAGGCAGCAGUGGGGAAUAUUGCACAAUGGAGGAAACUCUGAUGCAGCAACGCCGCGUGAGUGAUGAAGGUCUUCGGAUUGUAAAGCUCUGUCUUCUGGGACGAUAAUGACGGUACCAGAGGAGGAAGCCACGGCUAACUACGUGCCAGCCGCCGCCGUAA
rnacentral:rRNA from 1 species